CGGAAAACAAACAUUACUACAUUUCAUAGAAAAGGUUUACAAAUAUACAUACAAGUGCUUAUGAACUCACCAACUUAAAUGUUGAUACUCUCUUUUCAAAUAACUUGUAUUCUCAGGAAAUCAGUAAAUCAGGUAACAACUGGCUUUGAGGAUGGGACGCUUAGGCGUCUAAACAAAUCUUUUGACAACAUAUUGUAAUUGAUAUUUUGAAACAUGUAAUACGUACAAAUGAUGUAACCUUUUCAAUUAUAUAUAUGUUGGUUGUGUUUGCUUUGAACAUUUAUACUCAACUGUUAUGAUACACUACAUGAUAGUCACCCGCCCGUGGACGUUUCCACCAUCCUGGUUUGGGGGUGUGACAGAUUGGUAUCAGAGCAUUGUUUAUAGUGAGCUAAGUAUAUCAAACCACAUAAGAUAUACAAACUAUAAACACAUAGGGACUAAAACUCUCUGACUUAACAAUUUCAAAACAGGAAUAUUAGGGGUCCUUUGCUGUUAAGUCUAUGUUUGCUAAGUGUAUAAGUUAAGGUAGUAUAUACUAAAAGUUUCAUAGACUUAGAAUUUGUGAUUUUCACUUUACUUCCUUUUCCUUGUUUGAAUGUGGAUAUAAGGUAAGAUCACUUAUUCGACUGGCUAUUUAAUCUUGACUGUAUAUGANCUGGCUAUUUAUCUUGACUGUAUAUGACCUGUAUACACAAGGCAACCAUAGAAGGACCAGGAAUGGACAGAGAUUUC
rnacentral:lncRNA from 1 species